rnacentral:lncRNA from 1 species
AGCUGUGAUUACAAACGUGCCACUAUACCCGGAGCUUAUGGUCUUUUCUUAACAUUUCUUGAUGACGAGGAUGGGAUUUGAAGUGGCACCCUUGCUUUUUCCCAACACUAUCUGGACCAAUGCAUUUGCACCUGCAAGAACCCCUUGAGCUCACUUAUCUUCCUGGCUGCACCAGGGAGAAAUGAGAACCUGAAGACCGAAUCCUCUGAGAACAACAGAGAUACUUUCUUGCCAUGUACACUCCAGCAAAAACUUCGGGACCUUGAACUUUGGGUUCAUAAUCUCACAACUGAGAAGGAUUACUCCACACUCAUAGAACUGCACACCCAUUGGAACCCUUAAGGUGAAGCUAACCAGGGAAUUUUCUCCCCAGAAGAAGAAGAUAUUCUUGAUAUGAACAGCUUUUCCCAAAAUCAUGGAUCAAGAUUUCUACUAUUAUAAGACUCUUAUCUUUGAAUAUUUUUCCCUUGCUUAUACCUCUAUGAACAAUAGAAGUGAAAAGAGGGUCUAUUUUGUGCACAUAUGGGUAUACCUUUAUUUGUGAAUAAUUUUGCAGCCAGCCUUAUACAUAGAUAAACUUAUAUCUUGAUAGAUGAAAGAUGAAGGUGCAAUGUAGGUGAGAAACCUUAAUGGUAUAUACAGUGUCACAUAGUUAGAAACAGAACAUUGGUUCACUCCUCCUAACCCACAUCAUGAGUUAAAGAGAACAUUGCCAGGAGGCCUUCAC